AGUUUCCUGCGGUGCAUGUUACGGCUCAGAUUCUUUGAACCGAUAAGCAUUAUCCGGUCGCUACCAUAUAUGGCCUGUUGUGAGCAUUCCUCUGUCGAAUGCACCUGAUGGCCUCGGAAAGCGGCACUUUGAACCCUAGGGUUCAAGAUGCGAGUCGGACGGCAUCCGCGGGAACCCA
rnacentral:other from 1 species